CCCACAAUACACCAUACCUCAUCAUUCGAUCGAAGGAGUGGACGAGAUUGAAAUUCGGCAAAUCAGGCCCAUAUUUCUGUUAGAAAAUAUAUCAAUUGUUAAUGGAAAACUAUGUAAUAUGAUAUUUUAAGCAUUUUCUGUCAUUUUAGAGAUAAAUAAGGUAAAAGUUGGAUUUUUUCGCCUUGUUUUUGCAAUCUUGUUCUAUGUAUUGCUCUGUGAAAUUAAAUUGCGGAAGUCUUACGGUACGAAAUUGUUUUCGAACGCAGUAAUAUGCGCGUCCGGAAUCAUAAUAGUGUCCGGUAAUACAAUACGUGACUAUACAUGCACAGUGGUCGCUCGUUCGUUGUAACUUCGGUCAAUACAACAACAGCACUUCAGUCACUCAUAACAGUCUCGAGCACACAACAAGCACAUCUAUCGGCCAUCCAAGAACAUUUCCAGUAGCAAACCACAGAUGCCCAGCAUACAUCAUGUUCAUUCAGACUUCUCUCUAACUGACAUUCUGUCUCACGGAUAGCAUGGUGAUUAAGUCGAGGGUCGAUGACGGGGACGUUUGUUCAAAAUAUACGAACACUCUAUCUAUAAAAUACUAAGAGUAAGACUUAAGACUAUUUACUACAAUUCCAUGAUUCACAUCAAAGAUCACUGGUCACUACUCGAUCUAAUCAGACAUUCGUGCAACUAAACCAGGUCUAAGUAAUUUCUCAUUUGGAAACCAUCAAGUCGAGUUAUACCCGAUUAAAACAUUUAUUAACAACAAAUAACUUUAACAAUUCAAACUCUUGUAAAUUCAUGAAUAGUAAAAGUGGCAUUUUUAUCAGAUGUUUAUAUACAGUAUUGACAUAUUUACAUGCUUAAAACUAAGUCCUAGGUUACAUGGCUGACGUCUUAAUAAAAAUAAUUAAAUGUUCACCGAACAUUUAAUAAACCUACACUGUAAAUAAAUGACGAGAAAUUUCUGCUUCGUCACUCUUUGAAUAAACUAUCUUAAAUUCUACAA